CUCAUUUUAAAAGGGCACAUCCCCUCCACUUUCUGUCUCUCUCUUGCCCCUGUUUUUGCCAUACGAAGGGGUAGCUCCCCCUUCACUUUCCGCCAUGAUUGAAAGCUUCCUGAGGCCACCUCAGAAGCCAAGCGGAUGCUCCACCAUGCUUCUGUAUGAUGACCGGAGACACAGCUGUUGGAGGAAAAAAGUUUAUGUCAAUUAAAAUCCUGAAUUUCUCUGAUCUGGAAAGAAAAACUGCUAUGAACUCUUUAGGUUUCAGAUAAUGAAUACAAGAGUAAACAGGAACCCUGACUUACAGCAUAGGACUACAGGACUGGGGAGAGAAUCAUGCUACAACUGCAGUCGAGAUGCCAACACAAGUGCUGAAGAGGAUGUUACAUGAGAGAAAGAUGGAUUCAUAUGUGGAAAAGCCUUCUAAGGAUAAAGUCUACCAUAUACUGACUUACUUUUGGAGCCUUGACAUCCUUCAUGCCACACCACUUUAUCAGUAAACCCUCCAGGAUGGAACUAUUUACUGAAAUGCCAGUACUCCCCCUCAUUUUUUAAACUACAUGACCUGUUCAGUGCUGUCUGUUCUGGAAUGAAAGGCCAAUAUCCAAGUGUUCAGAAAGACCCGGGAGAUGGGACAAAGAGGAUGAAGCUGGGGCUGGAAGGCGACUCUGGGAACGGCUCAUAAAGAUGUCCCACAGAAUGACUGAGGCUUUGUUUCAUGAAUAGGUGUCUCCAUUCGGCCUUGAUGGCUAACCAGCCAACUGAACAAGUGUAAAGGGCCCAAGAAAGGCCCGUAAAACCCAUGACAUGAAAGAACAAUUUAGGAAAAUAACAACUAAGGUAAAAAUAUCAUUUUUAUUGCAUAAAUUGCAUGAGGAGUUGUGAAAUUAAAACCAUUUAUUUAUAAAAGUUAUUUCCUCAAAAAAUAAAUAAUAUUAGGUAUAUCUCCUAAUGCUAUCCCUCCCCCCUCCCCACCCCACAACAGGCCCCAGUGUGUGAUGUUCCCCUUCCUGUGUCCAUGUGUUCUCAUUGUUCAAUUCCCACCUAUGAGUGAGAACAUGCGGUGUUACACCUAAUGUUAAAUGACGAGUUAAUGGGUGCAGCACACCAACAUGGCACAUGUAUACAUAUGUAACAA
rnacentral:lncRNA from 10 species